GGAAUUGGACGGGACCGCACAAGCGGUGGAUGAUGUGUUAAUUCGAAGCAACGCGAAGAACCUUACCAGGUCUUGACAUCCCGAUGCUAUUUCUAGAGAUAGAAAGUUACUUCGGUACAUCGGUGACAGGUGGUGCAUGGUUGUCGUCAGCUCGUGUCGUGAGAUGUUGGGUUAAGUCCCGCAACGAGCGCAACCCCUAUUGUUAGUUGCCAUCAUUCAGUUGGGCACUCUAGCGAGACUGCCGGUAAUAACCGGAGAAGUGGGGAUGACGUCAAAUCAUCAUGCCCCUUAUGACCUGGGCUACACACGUGCUACAAUGGUUGGUACAACGAGUUGCGAGUCGGUGACGGCGAGCUAAUCUCUUAAAGCCAAUCUCAGUUCGGAUUGUAGGCUGCAACUCGCCUACAUGAAGUCGGAAUCGCUAGUAAUCGCGGAUCAGCACGCCGCGGUGAAUACGUUCCCGGGCCUU
rnacentral:rRNA from 1 species